GGCAGCUGACGAGUUCCAAAUAGGACGAAACGAGCGUUCUAGAU
rnacentral:hammerhead_ribozyme from 1 species